rnacentral:rRNA from 1 species
CCUACGGGUGGCAGCAGUGGGGAAUAUUGGACAAUGGGGGGAACCCUGAUCCAGCCAUGCCGCGUGUGUGAAGAAGGCCCUCGGGUUGUAAAGCACUUUCAGUGAGGAAGAACGCCUGGUGGUUAAUACCCAUCAGGAAAGACAUCACUCACAGAAGAAGCACCGGCUAACUCCGUGCCAGCAGCCGCGGUAAUACGGAGGGUGCGAGCGUUAAUCGGAAUUACUGGGCGUAAAGCGCGCGUAGGUGGCUUGAUAAGCCGGUUGUGAAAGCCCCGGGCUCAACCUGGGAACGGCAUCCAGAACUGUCAAGCUAGAGUGUAGGAGAGGAAGGUAGAAUUCCCGGUGUAGCGGUGAAAUGCGUAGAGAUCGGGAGGAAUACCAGUGGCGAAGGCGGCCUUCUGGACUGACACUGACACUGAGGUGCGAAAGCGUGGGUAGCAAACAGGAUUAGAUACCCUAGUAGUC